CUGACAGCAAUUUUGUGUUAACUUAAAUGGACUUUGGUUAGGACCUGGUAAUAAUCAGAGUACAAAAUGUCUGGCACUCUCAGAAAAACAGGUGGAUGAAUACAUAACUAAGCAAAAAAAAUGAACUUAUGCGUAUUUAUUGUGGACAGCUGCAAGCAAAAUACCACUGUUUUAACCCUAUGCAGCCUUUGUUACGUGCCUGCAUUCCUUUGUGCUUAACACCUGUUAUUUAUCAGUUGCACCACACCAGCAUUGCCAUAUGUGGAAGAAUUGGCUGUGAUUGAUACAGACACCAUCGCAGCUCAUGGCCUUGCAUGAAGGACUCCUGGGAUCGCCAAGGACACUCGGUGCGAGGAGGGACUACAGCCUGGCUGCUCUACAGCCUCUGAGUUUGGGAGCUUAUGUGGAAAUCCGCCAGGGUCAUGCUGAGAUGGCGAUCAUCAGUUGCUGACAUGACCUGAGCCCGAGUCUGAUAAACAUGUAUGGAGUUUUAUAUUUCAGACUCUGAGUGUUGUGAAUGUAUUAAAAAAU
rnacentral:lncRNA from 1 species